rnacentral:rRNA from 1 species
CCCUUAGAUGUUCUGGGCUGCACGCGUGCUACACUGAUAUUGCCAAUAUGUCAUUCUUAUCCGAAAUGGAUUGGGUAAUCAAGUAAUGAAAUUUCAUGCUUGGAAUCGGUAAUUGCAAUUUUAUCGUGAACGAGGAAUUCCUAGUAAGCACUAGUCAUCAGCUAAUGUUGAUUAUGUCCCUGCCCUUUGUACACACCGCCCGUCGCUACUACUGAUUGGGUGUUCAAGUGAGAUGCUUAGACCCUUGUUGCAUGGUUCAUUAUUGUGCUCCGAAAGGAAAAAGUUUCAAGCUUGAGUGUCUAGAAGAAGUAAAAGUCGUAACA